CGGGCCGGGCUGGGAUCAGGGCCGGGUUCGGGGCCUGCAGGGCGAGCAGCAAGGAGGCGCAGGCCCGGCUUGCCGAGCGAAGUGGCCGUACCGCUGAGUGAGCUGAAGCGCUCGCUCCCCCAGCUCGGCAGUGGUAGCGGCCGCCGGGCCUGCUUGGGCCGCGCGGGCCGGGCCGCACCAUUGCAGGGGCGGGGGGGGCGCGGCCUCGCGGCGCGUGGCGGCUCACGGCUCUUGUCCCUCAGGGCGCCAUGGAGGCGGCACCGGCACCGCGACCCCGCCGGCAGCGCCGGGACCCCGCCGGCACCGCGGGAACCCCUCCCCGCAGAAAGAUGUCUUGAACUAAAGAAGCUGGCCUUUCCACCUGGUGUGACACCACAGGGCUGGGAGCAGCUGGGGAGCUGGCCCUGAUGUGAAGGUCGAGCCUGCAGGUCUGUGCUGCCAUGUGCUGGUGGUUGAUGUCCCCCCACUGAUGGGACAGCUCAAGUCCUGUGGAGGGCACUGAGACAGCAGGAGAAUCUGCUGGGUGGUGCUGCUGCAAACGUCUCUGAGGCAGAAGGACUCCAACAAAACACCUUGAGGAUUUUGUGUAGACACAUUUUCUGCCUGUUCCAAAGUGGAGGAAGAGCUGUUAAUUUUCCAAUUCUCCUUCAUUUCAGAGAAGUGAGGCACAAAGGAGCUGCUGUUUUCCAGCACUGGUGAGCUGCAAGAAAAGUGUCACAGCCCCCAGCUCUGCUGUUUCUGUGCCUGUGGUGGAGGGGAGCUCUGAGCCUGCAGGAAAGCACAACUUGGGAAAAUCCUGAGCCUUGGAAUUGAUCAUUUAACAAGCAGGUGGGUACAGUGAAGAUGAAACAACAACAAAAAAGGAAUGGUGAAGUUCUUCUCUUGGAAAGUGAUGUGUAAAUGCACACAGCCCCAAGCAGAGGCCUUUUAUUCUGUGUGUUUGAAGCCUGUCCACCUCUGGGAUUUUCUGCCUGUUCCUCUACAUGCAGAACUCCCCAGCAGUGGAAUCCUGUGGGCUCAGGAGCCAGAGCCCUGGGGCAGCAGCUACCAGAGUGUGAUUGAUUCUUUAGUGCCUUGGUUUUCAUUUCUGGAAGAGCUGGAAUUGCAGCUCUUACCUGAGUGAGUUGCCAGACAAGGAGCAGCUGCCCAAGGGAAGCUCAUUCCUGGGUGAUGCAGCUGGGUUUCCACAUCUGUUGCAGCCCAAUAUCCCACAGUGUUCCAUCCAUCCCUGACUCUCUGGAUGUCUAUUCCAGGAAUUUGGGCCUGUAGUAAGAUGCUUUGAGGUUUUAAUUAUGUAGGUUAUUGUUUAGGAUGGUUGUGAGUGCUGCUUGCAAAAUCCUGACCACAAAGCACCUCCCCAAAGCCUUGCCCAGAGCCAGAGGAACCCUGCUUUCCCUGGAGAAGGACAGAGCUGACAGGGAGAGCCAGGAAUAAAGUGGUUUUACAUCACACACCUUGAAAAUCCAGUGAUAAUGCCCAGGCCAAACCUCCAGUGAAUUAAAUAUUAAUAUUUCUCUCCUCUUUUGUAAACCUCCAGUCUAUUUGUCCUUCCAAUAACAGCUCCCUGAGAGCUGCCACGUGCACUCACUGAAGGCUGGGAUUGCUCAUCCCAACCUGCUGGAUGCAAACCAGCCCACAGGUUUAUUUUCUCCUCAGACUGAGUUAAUAAAACAGCAAAGAAAAAAGAUGGCCCAGAAGCCACAGGAUCAAUAAGCUAUUAGGAGCCAAGAAAACUCAGCAAACUGCUCACAUAAUUAAAGGCUGUGGUGAACAGGUUGCAUCUUUUCUGACUCUAUUAAAUCAGGUCUUCAGUUUUAUGUAAAACCAUCAGCUGAGCUGGAGGUAAAACCAGCUGUGUCUCUGUGUAUUUACAGAGGGGGGAUAAAAAGGGAUAAAAAAUAGGGGGAUAAAUAAAUGCACGCCCAGAACUGCCAGAAGGGAAUGCAAACAAAGCACCUCCAGUUCCCCAUCCUUCAGGGGUAACUGGGCCAUGGGCUGAUGGAGCUGGCACUUCAGAAAUGACACUUUAUUCCCAAAUACCUUUCCUGCAGUGCCAGCUUGGGAUCCAGGAUUCCUGCAGUGAGCAAAGCUCUUGUGCUCCUCCUUGAGAACAAACCCUGUGCUAACAUUUUAUAGAAUCAGAUCCCAGGAUGGUUUGGGUUGGAGGGGAAUUAAAGCCCAUUUCAUUCCAACAUUCUGCUGUGGACAGGAACACCUCCCACUAAUCCAGGUUGUUCCAAGUCCUGUCCAGCCUGGAGAUAUCCAUCCAUUUAUUCAUGACAAUUAAUUAAUAUUAAUAUUAAUGUGCCUGGAGCUGGGCCCUCCCUAGGAAUUGAGGCUGGAGCCUGGCUGGAGGCAGUCAGAGCUCUGUGAGGGAUGGCUCUGUCCUUCAGAAUUUCCUGUUACAGACAUUUCAUAGAGCUGGAAAGCUCCUCUCCUCUCACAGCCUGCUGGUGGAAAUCAUCCCCAGGCACAGAAAAAUCCCACUGCCCUUGGAGUGGAGGAAGAGUGGGAUCAAGGAUGACAUCCUUGUACCAGAGAGGUCUGGAGGAGACUUCAUCUGUUGCUCACCAAGGAACAUUUCACUGCAGAGUUUAGCCUCCUGAAGAAGCCAGAGCAGCAGCUCUCAGCACUGCCUUGUCCUCUGCUUUUUCCUGGGCAUUCAACCUGGACAGAGGGAAAAUUCAACACUGGGUCUUUAUUAAACAUUAU